AAGGUACUUGACUAUCACUUUUAUAAGCUUCUCCUUGGUUCUGGCGUUCAUAUAAAUAAAAGAGACAAACGUGUAUGAUUUACAACUCUAGAUUAACCAACCCAACUGAUUCAACAUGUUUAGUCCUUUAAUCCUUGUUCUUAGUACUACCUCCAUGAUCCCACACUCCUAAUCAUAUGAGCUAAAAUGUUACACAUCAAUCAUUGAGAGAUAUAAAGAAAAAGACAUAUACAUAGAUAGAUUAUUUUUCCAUAAGGUUGAGCGAUCUGAUCUGACACAUGUUAUAAGUGCUACACUCAUGAACUUAUCAUCCAUCAACUUUGUCUUGCUCACUAUGCUUAAGGUUAGAGAAAAAGAAAUACACUUUUGGUUCUGUUGGUGUUUUCCACCAACAGGGCCCAUGCACUUGAUCUCUGCCUUGUCUCUAUGAGCAGGUACACUACGAGCACAAACACACUAAGCAAGAUACUGCUAACACCUCACUUCGAACUGCUGGGCAAACGAAGAACAUGGGUGACACCGUAUUAAAAGGUGCAGACGUCAAGGUCCGCACCUGAAUCAAAUGACGCACCUGAAGAAUGAAUACACUGAGAAGUCUUGUCAAGAAGACUUAAAACAUAGAACCCUUGCCGAAAGGUAAGAUUGGUUGUUAUCCAUAUUUAUCCUUUCUGCAUUCCCUUUUCUAUUUAAUUAUUUACUUUCCUUAAAUAGACUAUUAGUUAAUCAUGCUAUCUUGAAAAGAAAAAAAUGUUAAAAAAAUACUAAGCACUAUGUGAGUAUACGAGUGGCAUAAAACCCAUAAGUACCUUCACUGUGGUGGCAUAAAAAUAAAAUAAAUAUUUCUUUUCUACUUUAUAAAAUAAAAAUAUAAAAACAGGGAGUAAUAUUUAUUGAGGAAGCUCAACGUGAUGAAGGCUAGAUAUUUAUGCUAACACUUAAUUAGUUCCACAAGCUUUGUUGUCUAUUUGAGCUCCACAGAAUUUAAGAAUCAAGAAGACUAGCAGACGGAAGACAUUCUAAUCGCUGUCAGAAUGCUGCUGACUUUCAAAUACACCUCUGCCACCUGCUAGCUACAUCAAGAGAAAUUACGUCAAAAUUCAGCUUGGGGGAGAGCACCCCCAUUUAUCUCGCUAAGUAUUUCUACCUAUCUUUUGCUUAGUGUGUUUAAUAAAUAAAUAAAGUGGCUAUGCUAAUCUGAAUCUUAAUAAUAAAACUCUAGCAUGGAUAUGAUGAAUAGUUGCUCUGCCUAAUUUGCAAAUUUGAAGUUCUCUCUCAAGUUUAGACAUAACUGUUAUAAUUUAAAGCUUGCUCUAGAUCUAAACUUGUGGGAUGAAAACUUGAUCUGAAAUCUAAGUUGUUAACGGAUAUGAUAUGGGAAGGUUGAGCUGCUGUUUAUCUAUUCCUAGAGAUGCUAGAAUUCUGGAGAAUUUUAUCUUUGAAAAAUCUUUAAAAUGUUGCAUGAUGAGUUCCUGUAUGAUGAAAGUUUAAAUUCCUCCCACAGCCAUAUAUACAUGCUUGCUAGACUUUGAGCCACACAUUUAUUAUUUACUGCUUAUGAGCAUUGAGUGUGGUCAAGCUGUGUAGACCCUUAGGAGCUUGUCAUGUGGUUAAAUCAAGAUUCACUUGCAUGUUCACUCAUAUAUAUGCUACUUCUACUCCGGAAGUACCAUCCACAUAUAUUCAUCCAUUUCCAUCUCCAAAAUCACCUAAAAAUAUUCUACUCCUAAUUCGGGAGAGAAUAGCCAAAAACAUCUGUGUUUUUACCUUGUGAAAUAAAUGCUCAAGUUAUCUUGCUACUACCACUUGCUAUAUUAUCUCAAGAGAUGAGUGCUCUGAAAAAAAAGAAGAAAAAAAAAGAGAAAAAAAUAAACGAGGAAAUAAAAAGGGGCAAGUGCCCGGAACCUCGAAAGAAAAGAAAAAGAGUGAGACGAGAGGUAAAAAUAGACAAGUGUCCGACAGUAGAAUUAGGGGUAUAGGAUACCCAUCUGAGAGAAAAGAAAAAGAAGAGCAUCUCAUCCUCCUCAUAAAGUUUCAAAAAGCAAGGAAGGUAUGUAUCCCCUCAAAAGAGCAAAAGUAGAAUUAGACUUUCACCAUUGUUAUCACCAUCAUCACCAUACACUAUUCAUUCGCCACACAUGCACAUCUUGAUUUGGCUUAUUGAUUUGUUUCUUUGGAUCCAUGGUUUGACUAUACAAUAAAUGUCUUGUAAGUAUGUAUAUUUUAUCUCCCACCUAUGAGCUCCAGAUAUUAAAGCCUUAUUAGAGUAGGGUG
rnacentral:lncRNA from 1 species